AUUGAACGCUGGCGGCAGGCCUAACACAUGCAAGUCGAGCGGAUGAAGGGAGCUUGCUCCUGGAUUCAGCGGCGGACGGGUGAGUAAUGCCUAGGAAUCUGCCUGGUAGUGGGGGAUAACGUCCGGAAACGGGCGCUAAUACCGCAUACGUCCUGAGGGAGAAAGUGGGGGAUCUUCGGACCUUACGCUAUCAGAUGAGCCUAGGUCGGAUUAGCUAGUUGGUGGGGUAAAGGCCUACCAAGGCGACGAUCCGUAACUGGUCUGAGAGGAUGAUCAGUCACCCUGGAACUGGGCCACGCUCCAGACUCCUACGGGAGGCAGCAGUGGGGAAUAUUGGACAGUGGGCGAAAGCCUUAUCCAGCCAUGCCGCGUGUGUGAAGACGGUCUUCGGAUUGUAAAGCACUUUAAGUUGGGAGGAAGGGCAGUAAGUUAAUACCUUGCUGUUUUGACGUUACCAACAGAAUAAGCACCGGCUAACUUCGUG
rnacentral:rRNA from 1 species